rnacentral:tRNA from 1 species
ACCUGGCUGGCUCAGUCAGUAGAGCAUAUGACUUUUGACCUUAAGGUCAUGAGUUUGAGCCCCAUUUUGGGUA